UACGUAGGGUGCGAGCGUUAAUCGGAAUUACUGGGCGUAAAGCGUGCGCAGGCGGUUUUGUAAGCCAGAUGUGAAAGCCCCGGGCUUAACCUGGGAAUGGCAUUUGGGACUGCAAGGCUUGAGUGCGGCAGAGGAGACUGGAAUUCCUGGUGUCGCAGUGAAAUGCGUAGAUAUCAGGAGGAAUACCGAUGGCGAAGGCAGGUCUCUGGGCUAACACCUGACGCUCAUGCACGAAAGCGUGGGGAGCAAACAGG
rnacentral:rRNA from 1 species